rnacentral:rRNA from 1 species
UGGGGAAUAUUGGACAAUGGGCGAAAGCCUGAUCCAGCCAUGCCGCGUGUGUGAAGAAGGUCUUCGGAUUGUAAAGCACUUUAAGUUGGGAGGAAGGGCAGUAAGCGAAUACCUUGCUGUUUUGACGUUACCGACAGAAUAAGCACCGGCUAACUCUGUGCCAGCAGCCGCGGUAAUACAGAGGGUGCAAGCGUUAAUCGGAAUUACUGGGCGUAAAGCGCGCGUAGGUGGUUCGUUAAGUUGAAUGUGAAAGCCCCGGGCUCAACCUGAGAACUGCAUCCAAAACUGGCGAGCUAGAGUAGGGCAGAGGGUGGUGGAAUUUCCUGUGUAGCGGUGAAAUGCGUAGCUAUAGGAAGGAACACCAGUGGCGAAGGCGACCACCUGGGCUCAUACUGACACUGAGGUGCGAAAGCGUGGGGAGCAAACAGG